CCUGGUGCCUGGAGCCUGGAGGUUGCUGAGAGCUGUUGGCUUUGGAACAAGUAAGGGUCCAGGAUGGUGGGGCCUCACUCCCAGAAUUCUUCCUCAGGUGCCUGAAGGACAGUGCCAAGGCCUUAAUGCAGGGGGACAAGGUGGUGACCUUUUCCUUCUUUCGGGAGAGGCGCAUGUAUUUCACCAGGUUUAUCACUCCCACGUUGAUGUGGACAGCAGAGCUGUGUGGUUGACAUUUACAGAAGGACACGCUGUGGGGGACCGGCCUUCUGAGCCCAUCACACACUGAGUAGUGCGCUCAGAGGCCCAGAGGUUUAGCAUAACCGGCCCUCAGCGCACCUUGGGGACCAUACACGGGCUGAUAUACAUGGAGCCCUGGUAGGGUGAUCAGUUCACCUCCUUGGUGACAGGCUUACUUUACCUUGCAAAGGCAAGUCUGUUCCUAGAGUUUCCAACCCCACCCCCACCCCACCCUUCCUGCCCCUUCUUCCUACAAGAGUUGCUUUCAUGGCAACUUUCAAGGUCGCUGGCCCAAAGCCUUCUGGUUAGGAUCUUCACCCCCGGGUUUUAAGUUCUUGGAUCUUCUCGUCAGCUUGAGUCACAGGCUGGACUGUCUGUGGACGAACUCGAGUGCUGCUGAGGGCAAAGGCGAGGCCUGAGGGGGACAGAGGGCCCUGGAUGCCUCCGUUUAGGUGUCAGAGUGCAGAUUCUUUAGAAAUAAGGAAUUCCAGUGCUGGCCAGAUAGCUUGCUUAGAUAGGGAGCUGCUUUGUCAUUUGUGUUGCCCAAGUUUGAGCCUGGCCACCACCACAUUGAAGGAAGCUUUAGUGCUGUGAUCUGUUUCACUCUUUCUCUGCAAAAAAAAAAAAAAAGAAGAAGAAGAAAGAAAAAGAAAAGAAAAGAAAAGGAAGAAAGAAAGAAAAAGAAAGGAAGAAAAAGAGAGAGAAAGAAGGAAGAAAAAGAGAAAGGAAGGAAGGAAGAAAAGAUUGAAUCUGGUACUUAGGAGCUUCAGACAUGAGGCACGAGGUUCUUAGAGUAAUCACGUAACACUAUUUCCUGGCCUCUGUGUUUAUAAGUACUCAAAUCUCACUUUUCUUUCUCUUUGCAAAACUUAACUACUCCCUGGAAUGACACAUGUACAACCAUUAAUCUCGCUUGACACCAAACGUGCAUUUCUUGGCAAGUGAGAAGUCUGCUCUCAUAUACUGAGAACAUAUCUUAAAUACAAGUCCCAGACGACACUGAUGCAUGGUGUGUUUACAUGUGUUUAGAAAAAAAAUGCAAUGUCUUUCCUAAAGAAAAAAAGACUUGUUUGCUCACUGAAGAAAAAAAAAAAAAAAAGGAACAGAAGCCCCCACCUCCUCCUGUUCCCGAGGCCACAUUCACUUCAGAGUUAUCUCCUUGAGGCUGAGUGAGGGUUGUGGGUUGCUCACCUCCGUGACAGACUCAUUCCUAGGCUUUAUGAUGGGCAGGACACUUGAGAGAAGAUGUGGAAUCCUUCCUUGCUUCUAGCUCUUCUCCUUCUGGGACUUUGGGCACCUGUCUGAAUCUGUUUCACUGUCAGAAUGGGGGUGUGACCCUGAGGACUAGAGUUAGGAGGGUUAAUAGAGGGAAGUUAGUUUAAUCUCCUGAGGGGAGACUUGCGUGACUGAGGUGGUUUCCUGCCAUCUUGCUGGAGUCCCAGACAACAGUCACCUUGGGAUAUGAGGAAUGACAGUUUCCUUUAGUAAUACUUGGUCCAACUUCUCCUCAUAAAAACAGAGCUGGAUUCACCCCUGGUUAGGGGGCAAAGUGCUGCGUCCUCCACUCUCCCCACCCCCGCUCAGGCAGGCAGGACCUAGGCCUCUCAGUCCUUUCACACCUAGCCCUGACACGCACAGUCCUAUACUUCUCUUUGCUGGUUCUCCAACCUUCAGCGAAACGGACUCAGGAACGACCUACUCACUUUUAGAAAGCACUGUGUCUGUCCAUCUCACCUAAGGUUUGAGGCUGCAGGGAUGGAGUCCUCAGACUUAACCAGCAGAGUACAAGCGUGAGAUUAUACCUGUGCUACAAUCCUCCAUGCUGUUUACCUGAAAGAAAUGGUAUCUGAAAUCACACACCUAGUUCCUGGACUGUGUUUCCUUGGUGGUCUGGAGCACCCUCAACAGUCCUUCAUGUUUCAAGAUUCAGUUCCAGAAUUUCUUUCAGAGGCAGUCCAGGUUCCCUUUAUAUUAUGACAGCAGCCUGAUGGAUUUGCCCUUCAGCUUGAAAUGAGCUUCACAACCAACAGAUUUCGUUCACACCAGGAAAGCCACAAGAUAUGCAGGUUAAGAGAGAACACACAGUGCAGAGUCAGUCCAGAACCACAGUGAUGUAGCCCCGACAUGAGAGAAGCAUCAAGGGUGAGAGCUGAGUCCUCCCUCACCAUGGACCACUCAUGCACACUCAGACAUGUGCAUAGUUGAAAAUACUUCCAAAAAAGAGAGACCAGCAAUCAACCUGACUGUUGCUGUCACUGGGCAGCUACACCUGCAUCUCCAAGACGUGACGUAGAUCUCGAGUGAAUGGAAGCUUUCUGCACUAUCUCAACAUGCCUGGCUAUGUUCAUACUCCUUUGCCCUGGUACCACUGUGUGCCGGAGAGGUGCCCUGAUUCCAACUCUCUUCGUCAAAUAUGGAAACCAAACAUUCACCAAAGGAAACAUGACACUAACUCCACAGACGUCAUUUUUAAAAAUCUGUGUUUAUUUGCUUCAUGUAAAGAUAGGCAGAGAAGAAUUUUAACCUUGACAGAAAAGCCAGAGCACCACUCAACAUACUGUGCCAAAUCUCAAAGCAGGAGCCUCCGGCGUGAGAGUUCAUUGCCUCACAGGUCCAACAGUCUUACUGACGGUCACACCAUUUCAAUAUCUCCUCAGAGUCCUGAGCGCUCUGCUGCUCCUGGAAAUUUGAGGUGAACUAGCAGUUAGGGGUGGAGGUUCUGAAGCAUUUCUCAACACGCAAAUAUUUUAAAAUAUGGUAACUUUUUUUUUCUUGGUCUGUGUAUUUGAUACAUUAUUAAACAUACCCCUGCCCUUUUUUUU